rnacentral:lncRNA from 1 species
CACAUCUUUAGGACAGACUGAAGCUGUGGUUUCCCUGUAGCUGAUGGGGUGACUACAUUAUUAAGAAGACUCUGAUGGAAGUGGCCCAUUCAGUUGUUUCUGGAAAACAGGUAUGCUGUUCUCGCAAAACAAGCCAUCUGGAGGUCAGCGUUCCAGGACUGGAGCAGCAGCCUUAUGAUGUCACCAGGAACCCCCCCCCCACCGCCCCAGCUCCCUCUGUCAUCCUGCCCCCUUGUCCUUGGCACAUGGUUUUCAUCCGCAUUCUGCUGGCCCACUUUUGCAUGAUAAUUGCUUCAUACCCAUCUCCAUAUCA